rnacentral:misc_RNA from 1 species
GGAUCGUUAAAUUUUUCAACAAUUUUCCACGAAUUUUGUCUCUCGUUAGGGGGAAACAAGAUGGAGAGAGCGGAACUCCCGCCGCCGCCACGAACCAGAUCGGAGUAGAAAUCCGACACCCUCCGCCACGGUCUCGCGUGCAUAAACUCGAAGCUCUCCCUUGCAUUCCAGCGGGAGAGGUUGCACGGAUCGGUGUGGUUGUAAUGGAAAUGGGAUUUGCUCUCCUCCA